AGGGGUUCAUCAGCUUUGGGCAAGGGUUUAGUUGAGAAGGGGCAAAUGACAAACAAAAACCAGACAAAUCUAAUAUAAUCCUCUUAUUUACAGAUGAGGAAUCUGGGAGAGUCCCCAAAUCUCACAGCCUGUUAGUGCCCUCAGAGGUCUUGAAUCCCAGCCCUGGAUCUUUCCACCAUGGCUCACACCACUGCGUUAUCAGUUCUCCAGCCUGGGGAUGGUAUUCCUCUUUAUCUGUCUUGGGCAGGGAUCCUCACUGUAUCUCUUACUACUCUUCCAUGUUGAUACCUCCUCCAGCCCUGGGCCGAGAUCUGUAAGUGCAUGGUAGGUCUGGGAUCCUACUAACCAGCCCAGAAUUGCUCUGAGAUCUCAAGAGCCACCGUGAAAAGUGAUGAAUGCUGGCACAAAUUGCGGAACUAGAAAGCUUAGUUUCUUCACCUUAGUACAUGUGUUUCUCAACCUUGGGUAAGCCAAAACUCUCUCUGGUCCUCAGUAUCCCCUUAAGUAUAUCAGGGGAAAAAAGUCACUCUUUUGAAUAGUAUAAAGACAAAUUAGAUUGUGAUAAUCAAAUGACUUCAGCAUUUUGGGGGGAAAAGUUUUGCAAGAAGGACAAUAACCUGGUUCCUUUAAAAGGUUAAAGAAUGUGAGUAAGUUACGUUUAUUCUAUAAGUUCUUG
rnacentral:lncRNA from 1 species